rnacentral:lncRNA from 1 species
GGGGAGUGGAUGCUGGGGGACGCACAGGAGAUGUUCCCUCCGCGAAGGGGACGUGCAGGACCACACCACGCUGCCCGAGAAUCGCCAAGGACUCGGAGGGAGGAGGAGGCGAGAGGGAGGAAGAGGCUGAGGUAGGGAGACUCCGGUUCCCCCUCCUGCCUAGCACGGUGUCACGGGGCGUGACAGCAGGGGGCUGGACAAGGUUCAGGGAGCAUGUGACCAUCAGGGUCCUGCUGGUGAGAAAGGAGGGCAUGCCCCGGUGAGACAGCUGGCAGAGUCUGUCAUCGUCCAAUUAACCGGCUCAGGAGAUCUGCGUUUACGGCCGAGGACACACGCAGCUGUUUUCCAUCCAAGGUUCAUAAUUUACUUCUUCACCAACACGAAUUCCUGCAUUUGAGGAAAGAAGGCAACUGAACCACAUGAUUCUGCCUGAAAACAUUCCACCUGGUCUCUGAGUCGCCCAGUUAACCAUCGUGUGGUUCAAAUUCCACAGAAUUUCCCAAAUCUCCACCCUCCUUGGGGCGCACAGACACGCCCCCUGCAGCGCCUGCAUUAGCCGCUUUUCCGUGCCCGGCACAGAUCACCCCCCUCCUGGUCGCCCGGGCUGCGGGGCCUCAGCUGUCCUCCAUCUGCAGACCAGCCGCCGAGGGAUUAAAAACCUCCUCGCUGGCCAGGGAGCCUGGGCUUGUCCUCCAGCAUCCGGCCUGGAUGCGGUCCCAGAGAUAAAUCAUAUCUCUUUAAAAGGCCACAACGGCCCAUUAUUUCUGCUUGAAAAUACCCCUGGAUCUUCACUUGAGAGCUGGGGUGACAGGCCCUGGCUGUGGUGCUCAGCUCUGCAUAAAAUCGCUGUCAGCCGGUCAACUUCUGUCACGAGCAGGCUGGCAGCUUCAGACGGAGGGUAAGGAAGAUCCCCUCCCCGGCUCCAGGACCUGGCCGGAGGCUCCCGAGAGUCCCGCCUGCAGAAGAAGCGGGAAUCUCCGCCGUCCCUGGGCUCACGCCCACGUGAAGUGCCCUGUUCCUGCCCGGUCAACAUGGUGAGGAGCCAAAACGACAGGGCGAUUCCUGGUCUGCAUUUCGAGAUAUCCUGUGAUACUUCCUCAAGUAAACAGCAAUCGGAAAUAAUAAACCGAGCACAACUGAACAGUUAUUGUGGAUAUUUUCACCCAGAAGAAUAUAAUGCGCCUCCACAUUCCCAUCACUUGGAUUCCACAGGGACCAGGAUUUGCCCCACUCCCUCCAGCUCUCACCCCUCUUCCUGCCAACGUGUUUUAAAGCAAAUCCCAGACCUCACGUGGAUGUCUUCUACCAUAGCUGCAGCGUCCUUGUCACUUCUAAAGUUCAAACUUCCCCACUUGUCUGGCAAAUGUCUUCCUCUCAUUGCUUUUCCGGAAUCAGGAUUCGAACAAGGACGGGGCCUUGUUCGAAUCCUGAUUCCGGAAAAGCAAUGAGAGGAAGACAUUUGCCAGACAAGUGGGGAAGUUUGAACUUUAGAAGUGACAAGGACGCUGCAGCUAUGGUAGAAGACAUCCACGUGAGGUCUGGGAUUUGCUUUAAAACACGCUGGCAGGAAGAGGGGUGAGAGCUGGAGGGAGUGGGGCAAAUCCUGGUCCCUGUGGAAUCCAAGUGAUGGGAAUGUGGAGGCGCAUUAUAUUCUUCUGGGUGAAAAUAUCCACAAUAAUUGUUCAGUUGUGCUCGGUUUAUUAUUUCCGAUUGCUGUUUACUUGAGGAAGUAUCACAGGAUAUCUCGAAAUGCAGACCAGGAAUCGCCCUGUCGUUUUGGCUCCUCACCAUGUUGACCGGGCAGGAACAGGGCACUUCACGUGGGCAUGAGCCCAAGGAUGGUGGAGGUUCCCGCUUCUUCUGCAGGCGGGACUCUCGGGAGCCUCCGGCCAGGUCCUGGAGCCGGGGAGGGGAUCUUCCUUACCCUCCGUCUGAAGCUGCCAGCCUGCUCGUGACAGAAGUUGACCGGCUGACAGCGAUUUUAUGCAGAGCUGAGCACCACAGCCGGGGCCUGUCACCCCAGCUCUCAAGUGAAGAUCCAGGGGUAUUUUCAAGCAGAAAUAAUGGGCCGUUGUGGCCUUUUAAAGAGAUAUGAUUUAUCUCUGGGACCGCAUCCAGGCCGGAGCUGCUGGAGGACAAGCCCAGGCUCCCUGGCCAGCGAGGAGGUUUUUAAUCCCUCGGCGGCUGGUCUGCAGAUGGAGGACAGCUGAGGCCCCGCAGCCCGGGCGACCAGGAGGGGGGUGAUCUGUGCCGGGCACGGAAAAGCGGCUAAUGCAGGCGCUGCAGGGGGCAUGUCUGUGCGCCCCAAGGAGGGUGGAGAUUUGGGAAAUUCUGUGGAAUUUGAACCACACGAUGGUUAACUGGGCGACUCAGAGACCAGGUGGAAUGUUUUCAGGCAGAAUCAUGUGGUUCGGUUGCCUUCCUACCUCAAAUGCAGGAAUUCGUGUUGGUGAAGAAGUAAAUUAUGAACCUUGGAUGGAAAACAGCUGCGUGUGUCCUCGGCCGUAAACGCAGAUCUCCUGAGCCGGUUAAUUGGACGAUGACAGACUCUGCCAGCUGUCUCGCCGGGGCAUGCCCUCCUUUCUCACCAGCAGGACCCUGAUGGUCACAUGCUCCCUGAACCUUGUCCAGCCCCCUCCUGUCACGCCCGGUGACACCGUGCUAGGCAGGAGGGGGAACCGGAGUCUCCCUACCUCAGCCUCUUCCUCUCUCUCGCCUCCUCCUCCCUCUGAGUCCUUGGUGAUUCUCGGGCAGCGUGGUGUGGUCCUGCACGUCCCCUUCGCGGAGGGAACAUCUCCUGUGCGUCCCCCAGCAUCCACUCCCCUCCUUGUAUGAACAGACCCGACUGCAUGUGAGAAUUCACUUUCCCACCUCAGUCCCUGUGUUUGGGCUGAGCUGAUCCUGAACCCCAGGCCCCGGGGAGCGCACGAGCCAGGCCUGGCAAAGCCCCCACUGCCCAGCCCCGGACAGUGAUGGGUUCAGUGACAGGAGGGACCUAAGCGAGCCUGUUGGUGACUUUGGGGCUCUCAGGGCAU